GGUAUAUUUCUCAGAUGAGGUCUCUCUUCUGUUUUUGCUUUUCUGUCACAGGAUUUGAAUUUCUGAUCUCUCUGUGUAUGUUUGUCCAAGAAGCGAGGGGUCUUCUAUUUGGGGUUAUAUGUCCCCAUUUGUUCGAUCCCUGGCCUCACUCAGUGGGUGAAGUAUCUGGCAUUGCUGUGAGCUGUGGUGUAGGCCACAGACAUGGCUCGGAUCUGGGGUGCCUGUGGCUGUGGUGUAGGCCGGCACCUAUAGCGCUGAUUCGACCCCUAGCCCAGGAACCUCUACAUACCGCAGGUGCAGCCCUAAAAAGAGAAAAAGAAAAAAGAAUGUAUACAUAUGGGUAGGACUCAGUCACUUUGCUGUACAACAGAAAUUGACAUAACAUUGUAAAUCAAAACUAUACUUUAAAAAAAGAGGUCCUUUGUAGAUGCGAUUGGAGUUCCCUGGUGGCUCAGUAGGUUAAGGAUCUGGUUUAUCACUGCUAUGGCUUGGGUUGCUGCUGUGGCGCAGGUUCAGCCCAUGGCCCUGGAAGUUCCAUACGCUGCAGGUGUGGCCAAAAGAAAAACGUCCUUUGUAGUUGUGAUUAAGCAAAUCACCUUGAGAUGGAGGAGAUUAUCCUGAAUUUUUCAGGUGAGCAGAGUGUAAUGACAAAAGUCCUUGCAGAAGGCAGGAUAGUCAAAGAAGCAGAUGUGAUGACCAAAAUAGAGAUCAGAAAGAGAUGUGAGGAGUUCCCGUCGUGGCGCAGUGGUUAACGAAUCCGACUAGGAACCAUGAGGUUGCGGGUUCGGUCCCUGCCCUUGCUCAGUGGGUUAACGAUCUGGCGUUGCCGUGAACUGUGGUGUAGGUUGCAGACACGGCUCGGAUCCUGAGUUGCUGUGGCUCUGGCGUAGGCCGGUGGCUACAGCUCCGAUUCAACCCCUAGCCUGGGAACCUCCAUAUGCCGCGGGAGCGGCCCAAGAAAUAGCAACAACAACAACAACAAAACAACAACAAAAAAAAAAAAAAAAAAAAAAAAAAAGAGAUGUGAGAGCGAAACACUGCCAGUUUUGAAGAUGGAGGAAGGGGCCAGGAGCUAAGGAUUGCAGGCAGCUUUAGAAACUGGAAAAGACAGAGUUCCCAUCAUGGCUCAGGGGUUAACGAAUCUGACUAGGAACCAUUGAGGUUGUGGGUUCGAUCCCUGACCUCGCUCAGUGGGUGAAGGAUCCAGCGUUGCCGUGAGCUGUGGUGUAGGUCGCAGACACAGCUUGGAUCUGGCGUUGCUGUGGCUGUGGUGUAGGCUGGUGGCUGCAUCUCCGAUUAGACCCCUAGACUGGGAACCUCCAUGUGCUCCAGGAAAGACAG
rnacentral:lncRNA from 1 species